AAGCGCAUAGCGCAAGUGCAUUUGGCGCGUGUCCACUUUCACUUUACUAUUUAUACAGUGUGUAAUGUGAGCACAAAGGUGAGGUGUACAAACAG